rnacentral:rRNA from 1 species
AUGUUCUCGUCACAAUCGCUCAGCCACGUCAACAACAUUCGAACUGCGCUCAUCAACGCGCAGAAGGGCAACCAAUCGGUCACCUCCUACUUCGCCUCCCUGCGCGGCCUCACCGAUGAACUCGCCGCCGCCGGCAAACCCAUCCAGGACGACGAGUUGAUCUCGUACAUCCUCCACGGGCUCGACGUCGACUACCAGCCGCUCGUCUCUGCUCUCGACGCCCGCAUCACGCCUGUCACCCUCGACGAGCUCUAUGCCAUGCUGAGUAACUUCGACCAGCGCAUGGCCCAAUUCCAUGGCUCCUCUGGU